UACGUAGGGUGCAAGCGUUAUCCGGAAUUAUUGGGCGUAAAGAGCUCGUAGGCGGUUUGUCGCGUCUGCUGUGAAAACUGGGGGCUCAACCCCCAGCCUGCAGUGGGUACGGGCAGACUAGAGUGCGGUAGGGGAGAUUGGAAUUCCGGGUGUAGCGGUGGAAUGCGUAGAGAUCCGGAAGAACACCGGAGGCGAAGGCGGCUGGCUGGACCUGAUCUGACGCUGAGGUGCGAAAGCGUGGGGAGCGAACAGG
rnacentral:rRNA from 1 species